rnacentral:rRNA from 1 species
AACGAACGCUGGCGGCAUGCCUAACACAUGCAAGUCGAACGAGACCUUCGGGUCUAGUGGCGCACGGGUGCGUAACGCGUGGGAACCUGCCCUUAGGUUCGGAAUAACUCCCCGAAAGGGGUGCUAAUACCGGAUAAUGUCUUCGGACCAAAGAUUUAUCGCCUUUGGAUGGGCCCGCGUUGGAUUAGCUAGUUGGUAGGGUAAAAGCCUACCAAGGCGACGAUCCAUAGCUGGUCUGAGAGGAUGAUCAGCCACACUGGGACUGAGACACGGCCCAGACUCCUACGGGAGGCAGCAGUGGGGAAUAUUGGACAAUGGGCGAAAGCCUGAUACAGCAAUGCCGCGUGAGUGAUGAAGGCCUUAGGGUUGUAAAGCUCUUUUACCCGGGAUGAUAAUGACAGUAACGGGAGAAUAAGCUCCGGCUAACUCCGUG